AGAGCAGGAACAGGAGAGAGCUAAUAAAAGAGCCCUGAGGAAGCACAAACUGGCAGAGGAUGGAGAGUCUGAAACGUAGAGUGAGGAGACAAGAAGUUUUGGAGCUUUUUUGAGGUGGACUGAGACCAGUUAAUAAUAAUUCCUUGGCAUGUUCUAAGGUAUAUACCCAGGAGUGGAACCGCUGGA